GACGAACGCUGGCGGCGUGCUUAACACAUGCAAGUCGAACGGAAAGGCCCUGCUUUUGUGGGGUGCUCGAGUGGCGAACGGGUGAGUAGCACGUGAGUAACCUGCCCUUGACUUUGGGAUAACUUCAGGAAACUGGGGCUAAUACCGGAUAGGAGCUCCUGCUGCAUGGUGGGGGUUGGAAAGUUUCGGCGGUUGGGGAUGGACUCGCGGCUUAUCAGCUUGUUGGUGGGGUAGUGGCUUACCAAGGCUUUGACGGGUAGCCGGCCUGAGAGGGUGACCGGCCACAUUGGGACUGAGAUACGGCCCAGACUCCUGCGGGAGGCAGCAGUGGGGAAUAUUGCACAAUGGGCGGAAGCCUGAUGCAGCAACGCCGCGUGCGGGAUGACGGCCUUCGGGUUGUAAACCGCUUUCGCCUGUGACGAAGCGUGAGUGACGGUAAUGGGUAAAGAAGCACCGGCUAACUACGUG
rnacentral:rRNA from 1 species